rnacentral:rRNA from 1 species
AGCGGCGAGUGAAGCGGCAAUAGCUCAAAUUUGAAAUCUGGCGUCUUCGGCGUCCGAGUUGUAAUUUGAAGAAGGUAUCUUUGAGGCUGGCUCUUGUCUAUGUUCCUUGGAACAGGACGUCACAGAGGGUGAGAAUCCCGUGCGAUGAGAUGCCCAGUUUCGUGUAAAGUUCCUUCGACGAGUCGAGUUGUUUGGGAAUGCAGCUCUAAGUGGGUGGUAAAUUCCAUCUAAAGCUAAAUAUUGGCGAGAGACCGAUAGCGAACAAGUACUGUGAAGGAAAGAUGAAAAGAACUUUGAAAAGAGAGUGAAAAAGUACGUGAAAUUGUUGAAAGGGAAGGGCUUGAGGUCAGACUUGGUUUACCAGGCCAGCAUCAGUUUGGGUGGCAGGAUAAUAGCUAAGGAAAGUGGCACGAUUUCGGUUGUGUGUUAUAGCCUUGGUUGAUACUGCCUGCCUAGACUGAGGACUGCGUCUUUGACUAGGAUGCUGGCAUAAUGACCUUAAGCCGCCCGUCUUGAAACACGGGACCAA